AUGUCCACUGGGGGCUGGGAGGACACUGUGCAAGGAAGCAAGUCCAGCAGCACAAAGGGUCACCUAAGGUAACAACGAAUAACUAGGGUGGGAGUAGAGGCUGGGGCAUAAAAGCGAACACUUUCGCAUGCGCGAAAGUUUUGUGGCAAGUGGGUAACGCAAGAAAAUACCAUGAAAACGGUACGGAAACUUGUGAUGUAACAGGAAGGUCGUGUGCACCAUCGGAGAACAACAUUUAUGGGCUAAAGUCCGGCACAGGAGUGGAAAGAAAAUGCCUUAACGAGAAGACUUAUUCUCCCAUUGGUCAGUUAAAGGAUGAUCAAAAGACCACUGGAGAUUUCUAUCGGAGUAAAGCACCAAAACCACUAUACUCGUACAGCUUUAAAGAAAGAAAGAGGUGCAUAGAUAGGAGUUGGCAAUGUCAGCUGCUGCAACAGAACAAGCUCCUGAGCAUCUACUUCACAGCUUACCUGGACAAACACCAAGCAGUCACCCAGCAUCUCUAUACCUGCAGCAAACUAACAUGCAUAUCAAUUCAGAAAACGU